GAGUUAGCUAAGGCACGGUUAGGGUGAAGGAUGGGUUAAGGAGAGAAUUCUGGCCAAGGCUUCUCUGGCAAGAGGUUGGGGAUGGGGGUGGGGGUAGGGAGAUCAGGACAUAGAGCUAGCCAAGCCUGUUGGAGCAGCGCCCUGGAUCUUACCCAGGGCAGCCAGUAGAGCCAGCAGCUGUUUCCUCAGAACAUGUGAGCCAACCCCAGAGAGACAGCGUGGCCCCUGACACAGACAAGUUCACACGCAAAUCCUCUUUGGAAUAAAAAGGAAGAAGACAUUUGGACCUGGUUCACAAACCGAUCCUUGGACCUGGUGGAUGUGGGCUGCUCAUACAAUACAACCUCAAGUCAUCAAUGAGCUGAUCUGACUGCUGCUGCUGCUGCUGCUGCUGCUGCUGCUGCUGCCGCCGCUAAGAAACCUGGGUUUCUUAGCAGAUGUCAACCAACCCUGGACAGAACAGUUGGCUACCAGUGUCAAAGCUGCCGUGACGACUAGACAAGAAGGAUGGGCCUAACUCUGAGGGAAGUUGAGUGGCUGAUGCUGUCUCCUCCAAUGGACCCUGCUUUAUGAUUUCCCCCUUUUGAAAAAAGGGUGAACCUGAUUCCAUCUGUAUGAAAAGUACAGCUAUGUUGUUUGGUAGAAACGUGGUGUCGCUGUCGGGUGGACGCAAUGAAAUCUGUAGCUUAAUAGCCUGAGAUAGCGAUACUGGAUCGUUUCUUAACUCCACAAUUACGUGCCUCCUCUGAUCCCUUUUUUGAUCCUGCCAGUUUCAUGUUAGAUUGCCACACCAGGAAAGCAGGUAAGGUAGACACCAGUGUCAGGCAAGAGGCUAGCUGUUUUCCUCCCUUGACAAUAGGAGCAGAGGACUUGUCACAGGACUGGAUUGUAUGUGAGUCAAGCUGUGGCAGUCUGGGCAUGGUUUCAGCAAGACAGCACUGAGAGUCUGCUCACGUCCGCCAAGGGACAGUGGCAGCUUCCAGUCUUUGGUAAGAGGUUCCUCAUGCAUUUGUCUCUUAGCUCUUCUAGCAGGUUUCAGACCAAUGCUCUACAUUAUAUUUUCUGCUGCUUAAAAUCUCUAAGGUGGUUUCUGCUUCUCUUUGGAUACUGAAUGAUACAGAUCUUUCCAUUUCAGUAGGCUGCACGCUUCCUUAUUUUAGUUUUGUUUUUAAUAAAUACUAUUUUUAUGAGAACCCCCAAUGAGUAGUUAGUUGAUAUCUACCUUUCAAUCACUAGGAGCGAUAAGGAUAUUUCCUUUUUAGGAAAGAAUCAUCCAGGCCUUUACUUGGCAAUGUUUGUUGUGCCCUCCUGUUUGGAAUCACACAUGCUAACACUUUUAUGGAUGGAGCCAAAUGGUUGAAUUGCGAAAUAGGAUUAAACUCAACUUGGAAUCCAAAGUGCAUCCAUCUGUAGCUUCUUAUUGGUUGCUUGAAAAGUGUUUUAAAUAUUGUCUAUGUAUGCCCUGGCUUUAUCUCUUUCAAAUGCAUUAAGCGCCUUGAAGCUUGCUUUUCACUUUUUUAAAUUUUUUUUUAACUUUUAUUAAUUACACUUUAUUCACUUUGUAUCCCACCAUAAGCCCCUCCCUCCUCCCCUCCCAAUCCCACCCUUCCUCUCCCUUCUUCAUACAUGCCCCUCCCCAAGUCAACUGAUAGGGGAGGUCCUCCUCCCCUUCCUUCUGAUCUUAGUCUAUCAGAUCUCAUCAGGAGUGGCUGCAUUGUCAUCUUCUGUGGCCUGGUAAGGCUGCUCCCCCCUCAGGGGUAGGUGAUCAAAGAGCAGGCCAAUCAGUUCAUGUCAGAGGCAGUCCCUCUUCCCAUUACUAUGUAACCCACUUGGACACUAAACUGCCAUGGGCUACAUCUGUGCAGGGGUUCUAGGUUAUCUCCAUGCCUGGUACUUGGUUGGAGUAUGAGUCUCUCGGAAGACCCCUGUGUUCAAAUCUUCUGGUUCUGUUGCUCUCCUUGUCAAGUUCCUAUCCUCUCCAGAUCUUACUAUUUUCCACUUCUUACAUAAGAUUCCAUGCACUCUGCCCAAUAGUUGGCCACAAGUCUCAAUGUCUGCUUUGAUAGUCUGCAGGGCAGAGCCUUUCAGAGGCCCUCUGUGGCAGGUUCCUAACUUGUUUCCUGUUUUCUUCUUCUUCUGAUGUCCAUCCUCUUUGCCUUUCAGGAUGGGGAUUGAGCAUUUUAGUCAGGGUCUUCUUUCUUGAUUAGUUUCUUUAGAUGUACAGAUUUUAGAAGGUUUAUCCGAUGUUAUAUGUCUAUAUGAGUGAGUAUAUACCGUGUGUGUCUUUUUGCUUCUGGGACAAUUCACUCAGGAUGAUCCUUUCCAGAUCCCACCAUUUACCUGCAAAUUUCAUGAUUUCCUUAUUUUUUAUUGCAGAGUAGUACUCCAUUGUGUAGAUGUACCACAAUUUCUGCAUCCAUUCUUCAGCUGAGGGGCAUCUGAGCUGUUUCCAGCUUCUGGCUAUUACAAAUAAAGCUGCUACAAACAUGGUUGAGCAAAUGUCCUUAUUGUGUACUUGAGCCUCUUUUGGAUAUAUGCCUAGUAGUGGUAUGGCUGGGUCUUGAGGAAGUGCUAUUCCUAGUUGUCUGAGAAAGUGCCAGAUUGCUUUCCAGAGUGGUUGUACAAGUUUACAUUUCCACCAGCAGUGGAGGAGGGUUCCCCUUUCUCCACAACCUCUCCAGCAUGUGUUGUCUCUUGAGUUUUUCAUCUUGGCCAUUCUGAUGGGUGUAAGGUGAAACCUCGGGGUCAUUUUGAUUUUCAUUUCCAUAAUGGCUAAUGAUGUCUUUAAGUGUUUCUCUGCCACUCGAUAUUCCUCUACAGAGAAUUCUCUGUUUAGCUCUUUUCCCCAUUUUUUAAUUGGAUUACGUGGUUUGCUGCUUUUCAGCUUCUUUAGUUCUUUGUAUAUACUGGA